rnacentral:rRNA from 1 species
UGCAGUCGAACGAUGAAGCCCAGCUUGCUGGGUGGAUUAGUGGCGAACGGGUGAGUAACACGUGAGUAACCUGCCCUUAACUCUGGGAUAAGCCUGGGAAACUGGGUCUAAUACCGGAUAGGAGCGCCCACCGCAUGGUGGGUGUUGGAAAGAUUUAUCGGUUUUGGAUGGACUCGCGGCCUAUCAGCUUGUUGGUGAGGUAAUGGCUCACCAAGGCGACGACGGGUAGCCGGCCUGAGAGGGUGACCGGCCACACUGGGACUGAGACACGGCCCAGACUCCUACGGGAGGCAGCAGUGGGGAAUAUUGCACAAUGGGCGAAAGCCUGAUGCAGCGACGCCGCGUGAGGGAUGACGGCCUUCGGGUUGUAAACCUCUUUCAGUAGGGAAGAAGCGAAAGUGACGGUACCUGCAGAAGAAGCACCGGCUAACUACGUGCCAGCAGCCGCGGUAAUACGUAGGGUGCGAGCGUUAUCCGGAAUUAUUGGGCGUAAAGAGCUCGUAGGCGGUUUGUCGCGUCUGUCGUGAAAGUCCGGGGCUUAACCCCGGAUCUGCGGUGGGUACGGGCAGACUAGAGUGCAGUAGGGGAGACUGGAAUUCCUGGUGUAGCGGUGGAAUGCGCAGAUAUCAGGAGGAACACCGAUGGCGAAGGCAGGUCUCUGGGCUGUAACUGACGCUGAGGAGCGAAAGCAUGGGGAGCGAACAGGAUUAGAUACCCUGGUAGUCCAUGCCGUAAACGUUGGGCACUAGGUGUGGGGACCAUUCCACGGUUUCCGCGCCGCAGCUAACGCAUUAAGUGCCCCGCCUGGGGAGUACGGCCGCAAGGCUAAAACUCAAAGGAAUUGACGGGGGCCCGCACAAGCGGCGGAGCAUGCGGAUUAAUUCGAUGCAACGCGAAGAACCUUACCAAGGCUUGACAUGUUCUCGAUCGCCGUAGAGAUACGGUUUCCCCUUUGGGGCGGGUUCACAGGUGGUGCAUGGUUGUCGUCAGCUCGUGUCGUGAGAUGUUGGGUUAAGUCCCGCAACGAGCGCAACCCUCGUUCCAUGUUGCCAGCACGUCCUGGUUGGGGACUCAUGGGAAGCUUGCCGGGGUCAACUCCGAAGGAAGGUGAGGACGACGUCAAAUCAUCAUGCCCCUUAUGUCUUGGGCUUCCCGCAUGCUACAAUGGCCCGUACAAUGGGGUGCGAUAC